GGAUUAUAUAAAGGAGUAGGUUUCCGUAGAAGUCACAUCAACAAGCCAGCGAAACCUCCGUUACACGCACUACUCUCUCUUCGCCUAGCCCAGACUCACCGACCACCGAAUACCCCAGGCCACUUCGGACCCGACUCGGCUCACCGACCACCAUCCCAGACUCACCGAAAACCGCCCCAGGCGCACCGACCACCAC